CUUGGUCAUUUAGAGGAAGUAAAAGUCGUAACAAGGUUUCCGUAGGUGAACCUGCGGAAGGAUCAUUACUGAUUUGCUUAAUUGCACCACAUGUGUUUUUCUUUGAAACAAACUUGCUUUGGCGGUGGGCCCAGCCUGCCGCCAGAGGUCUAAACUUACAACCAAUUUUUUAUCAACUUGUCACACCAGAUUAUUACUAAUAGUCAAAACUUUCAACAACGGAUCUCUUGGUUCUCGCAUCGAUGAAGAACGCAGCGAAAUGCGAUACGUAAUAUGAAUUGCAGAUAUUCGUGAAUCAUCGAAUCUUUGAACGCACAUUGCGCCCUCUGGUAUUCCGGAGGGCAUGCCUGUUUGAGCGUCGUUUCUCCCUCAAACCGCUGGGUUUGGUGUUGAGCAAUACGACUUGGGUUUGCUUGAAAGACGGUAGUGGUAAGGCGGGAUCGCUUUGACAAUGGCUUAGGUCUAACCAAAAACAUUGCUUGCGGCGGUAACGUCCACCACGUAUAUCUUCAAACUUUGACCUCAAAUCAGGUAGGACUACCCGCUGAACUUAAGCAUAUCAAUAAGCGGAGGA
rnacentral:rRNA from 1 species